UACAGAGGGUGCGAGCGUUGUUCGGAAUUACUGGGCGUAAAGCGCGCGUAGGUGGUGUGUUAAGUCCACUCGUGAAAUGCUGGGGCUCAACCCCAUGCGCUGCGGGGGAUACUGGCACGCUGGAGACACGUAGAGGCAAGCGGAAUUCCGGGUGUAGCGGUGGAAUGCGUAGAGAUCCGGAAGAACACCGGAGGCGAAGGCGGCUUGCUGGGCGUGAUCUGACGCUGAGGCGCGAAAGCGUGGGGAGCGAACAGG
rnacentral:rRNA from 1 species